rnacentral:rRNA from 1 species
GAUGAACGCUGGCGGCGUGCCUAAUACAUGCAAGUCGAGCGAACGGACGAGAAGCUUGCUUCUCUGAUGUUAGCGGCGGACGGGUGAGUAACACGUGGAUAACCUACCUAUAAGACUGGGAUAACUUCGGGAAACCGGAGCUAAUACCGGAUAAUAUUUUGAACCGCAUGGUUCAAAAGUGAAAGACGGUCUUGCUGUCACUUAUAGAUGGAUCCGCGCUGCAUUAGCUAGUUGGUAAGGUAACGGCUUACCAAGGCAACGAUGCAUAGCCGACCUGAGAGGGUGAUCGGCCACACUGGAACUGAGACACGGUCCAGACUCCUACGGGAGGCAGCAGUAGGGAAUCUUCCGCAAUGGGCGAAAGCCUGACGGAGCAACGCCGCGUGAGUGAUGAAGGUCUUCGGAUCGUAAAACUCUGUUAUUAGGGAAGAACAUAUGUGUAAGUAACUGUGCACAUCUUGACGGUACCUAAUCAGAAAGCCACGGCUAACUACGUGCCAGCAGCCGCGGUAAUACGUAGGUGGCAAGCGUUAUCCGGAAUUAUUGGGCGUAAAGCGCGCGUAGGCGGUUUUUUAAGUCUGAUGUGAAAGCCCACGGCUCAACCGUGGAGGGUCAUUGGAAACUGGAAAACUUGAGUGCAGAAGAGGAAGGUGGAAUUCCAUGUGUAGCGGUGAAAUGCGCAGAGAUAUGGAGGAACACCAGUGGCGAAGGCGACUUUCUGGUCUGUAACUGACGCUGAUGUGCGAAAGCGUGGGGAUCAAACAGGAUUAGAUACCCUGGUAGUCCACGCCGUAAACGAUGAGUGCUAAGUGUUAGGGGGUUUCCGCCCCUUAGUGCUGCAGCUAACGCAUUAAGCACUCCGCCUGGGGAGUACGACCGCAAGGCUGAAACUCAAAGGAAUUGACGGGGACCCGCACAAGCGGUGGAGCAUGUGGUUUAAUUCGAAGCAACGCGAAGAACCUUACCAAAUCUUGACAUCCUUUGACAACUCUAGAGAUAGAGCCUUCCCCUUCGGGGGACAAAGUGACAGGUGGUGCAUGGUUGUCGUCAGCUCGUGUCGUGAGAUGUUGGGUUAAGUCCCGCAACGAGCGCAACCCUUAAGCUUAGUUGCCAUCAUUAAGUUGGGCACUCUAAGUUGACUGCCGGUGACAAACCGGAGGAAGGUGGGGAUGACGUCAAAUCAUCAUGCCCCUUAUGAUUUGGGCUACACACGUGCUACAAUGGACAAUACAAAGGGCAGCGAAACCGCGAGGUCAAGCAAAUCCCAUAAAGUUGUUCUCAGUUCGGAUUGUAGUCUGCAACUCGACUACAUGAAGCUGGAAUCGCUAGUAAUCGUAGAUCAGCAUGCUACGGUGAAUACGUUCCCGGGUCU